rnacentral:lncRNA from 1 species
GUUCACAGAUGCAUGUGCAAAAGAACCUUGGGCAUAUAAACUUGCCGCCUUUAGAGCCUUGCUCCAAAGAAUGAUAACACACUGCACUACAUACACAAGUGCCUACAAAGAAUUACAUUGGAUUAUAAGACAAGCUGUAUGCCAUGGUUAUCAAGAGGGUUUGAUUUUGAAUAUGUGGGCAAAGAUCUCACAAAAGUAUAACCGAAACUUAAGUGGAGAUACGGAGCAAUCAGAGGCAAAUGACCAUUGUGAGAAGAAGUUUUUUAAUGUCAGUAUAAAUCCGGCCACUUUGAAAUACAAGAAGAAAAUAGAGAAGCCGCUGGGGCCAAAAUAUGCUUAAACAGAAGAAAUACUUUGUUUAAUAUACUAAGAAACGAUAGAGUAAAAUUUGAACAGGACUCUC